UACGUAGGGUGCGAGCGUUGUCCGGAAUUAUUGGGCGUAAAGAGCUCGUAGGCGGCUCGUCGCGUCGACCGUGAAAACCCGCGGCUUAACUGCGGGCUUGCGGUUGAUACGGGCGGCUAGAGUUCGGUAGGGGAGACUGGAAUUCCUGGUGUAGCGGUGAAAUGCGCAGAUAUCAGGAGGAACACCGGUGGCGAAGGCGGGUCUCUGGGCCGGAUACUGACGCUGAGGAGCGAAAGCGUGGGGAGCGAACAGG
rnacentral:rRNA from 1 species